rnacentral:rRNA from 2 species
UGAGGAAUAUUGGACAAUGGAGGCAACUCUGAUCCAGCCAUGCCGCGUGCAGGAAGACGGUCCUAUGGAUUGUAAACUGCUUUUGUACGGGAAGAAAACAUACUACGAGUAGUAAAUUGACGGUACCGUAAGAAUAAGGAUCGGCUAACUCCGUGCCAGCAGCCGCGGUAAUACGGAGGAUCCAAGCGUUAUCCGGAAUCAUUGGGUUUAAAGGGUCCGUAGGCGGGUUAUUAAGUCAGUGGUGAAAGUUUUCAGCUUAACUGAAAAAUUGCCAUUGAUACUUGUAGUCUUGAAUUUUUGUGAAGUAACUAGAAUAUGUAGUGUAGCGGUGGAAUGCUUAGAUAUUACAUGGAAUACCAAUUGCGAAGGCAGGUUACUAACAAACGAUUGACGCUGAUGGACGAAAGCGUGGGUAGCGAACAGG